GCCACACUUGUGAACGUGUCUUUUUCCGCUUUGCUGCCGCUGUUCUGUCGUCGCCAGCAGAGAGGAUGAGGCUAGUGCACGAGUUGACC
rnacentral:pre_miRNA from 1 species